AGAAAGUAGAAGCACCCGCUUCUCACCUGAUUGACGCAAAUUGCAGUUGGUAGGUCUUACGUUCAUUAAUCAUUAAUGUGUAAAUGAAUUGUAAUAGUGUGGGUGUGUAUACAUUCACACUUUUUUAUUU
rnacentral:sRNA from 1 species